rnacentral:misc_RNA from 1 species
GAAAUGCGAUAAGUAAUGUGAAUUGCAGAAUUCAGUGAAUCAUCGAAUCUUUGAACGCACCUUGCGCCCCUUGGUAUUCCUUGGAGCAUGCCUGUUUGAGUAUCAUGAAAUCUUCAAAGUAAAUCUUUUGUUAACUCAAUUGGUUUCUACUUUGGUAUUGGAGGUCUUUGCAGCUUCACACCUGCUCCUCUUUGUUCAUUAGCUGGAUCUCAGUGUUAUGCUUGGUUCCACUCGGCGUGAUAAGUUAUCUAUCGCUGAGGACACUGUAAAAGGUGGCCAAGAUAAAUGCAGAUGAACCGCUUCUAAUAGUCCAUUGACUUGGACAAUACUUUUAUGAUCUGAUCUCAAAUCAGGUAGGACUACCCGCUGAACUUAAGC